GUACCCGCUCCGCGAGUGGUGAGGACUAUUACUGGGCUUAAAGCGCCCGUAGCCGGCCGGGUGUGUCCUCCGUUAAAUCCACAGGCCUAACCUGUGGGCUGCGGGGGAUACUACCCGGCUUGGGGGUGGGAGAGGGCGGCGGUAUUCCCGGGGUAGGGGUAAAAUCCACUGAUCCCGGGAGGACCACCAGUGGCGAAGGCGGCCGCCCAGAACACGCCCGACGGUGAGGGGCGUAAGCUGGGGGAGCAAACGGGAUUAGAUACCCCAGUAGUCC
rnacentral:rRNA from 1 species